AGUUAAUUAAGCUUUAGAUCAAGCAUUUAUUUUGAAAAUAAAAAAUGAUAGUUAAAUUCUAUCAUUAACUU
rnacentral:tRNA from 1 species